CUAAACAACAGACGAAGAUUAAAUAUGUAAACUAAAAUCGGAUUACGAAAACAUUAAAAAGGAAUUGCAAUGCGUCCAUAUUUCGUCUGUCUGAUUAAGGUACAAUCUUAAUCCAACAGUUAAAAUUUUGACUAAAUGGACAUGUCAACAAAUCAAAAAGUAUAUAUGCCGUAAAGUCAGCGUUGUCCGUCUCAGUGCAGUCAUAUCUUGCUUAAUGGAUCAAGGUACAAUCCUCAUCCAACAGUCAAGAUUUGACUGAAUGGACAUGUCAACAAACCAAAAUACACAUUGGUGGUCUAGUCUGUACAGUCGUAUUUGGCCUAUCGGAACAAGGUACAAUUGUAAUCCAACAAUCGAAAUUUGAUUGAUCCGACACAUCUACAAACCAAAAAGACUAGCAGUCAUCCGGUCAGUGUAGCCAUACCUUAUUUAUUGGAUCAAUGUACAAUUGGGAUCCAAUAUCUGAGAUUUGACUAAGACU
rnacentral:lncRNA from 1 species